rnacentral:rRNA from 1 species
GUGGGGAAUAUUCCGCAAUGGACGAAAGUCUGACGGAGCAACGCCGCGUGAGUGAUGAAGGUUUUCGGACUGUAAAGCUCUGUUGUUUAGGACGAAAGUGCCUGUUGCAAAUAGUUACAGGUAUUGACGGUACUGAACGAGGAAGCCACGGCUAACUACGUGCCAGCAGCCGCGGUAAUACGUAGGUGGCAAGCGUUGUCCGGAAUUAUUGGGCGUAAAGAGCAUGUAGGCGGGAAUCUAAGUCUGUUGUUAAAAUGCGGGGCUCAACCCCGUAUUGCGAUGGAAACUGGGUUUCUUGAGUGCAGGAGAGGAAAGGGGAAUUCCCAGUGUAGCGGUGAAAUGCGUAGAUAUUGGGAGGAACACCAGUGGCGAAGGCGCCUUUCUGGACUGUGUCUGACGCUGAGAUGCGAAAGCCAGGGUAGCGAACGGGAUUAGAUACCCCUGUAGUCC